UACGAAGGGGGCUAGCGUUGCUCGGAAUCACUGGGCGUAAAGCGCACGUAGGCGGAUUCCUAAGUCGGGGGUGAAAUCCUGGAGCUCAACUCCAGAACUGCCUUCGAUACUGGGAAUCUUGAGUCCGGGAGAGGUGAGUGGAACUGCGAGUGUAGAGGUGAAAUUCGUAGAUAUUCGCAAGAACACCAGUGGCGAAGGCGGCUCACUGGCCCGGUACUGACGCUGAGGUGCGAAAGCGUGGGGAGCAAACAGG
rnacentral:rRNA from 1 species